GUCUCUCUAGUAUAGUGGUUAGUACUCUCGCUUGUGGUUCGCUGAGUUGCUCACGCAAUCUACCGCGAGCAACAUCGGUUCGAUUCCGAUGGGGGACA